AGGGCAUACGGUGGAUGCCUAGGCGCUAAGAGCCGAAGAAGGACGCGGUAAGCUGCGAAAAGCUACGAGGAGUCGCAAGCAGACGAAGAAUCGUAGAUAUCCGAAUGGGAAAACCCUGCUGGAGUAAUAUCCAGUAAUCCCAUGCUGAACAAAAUAGGCAUGCGGAAGGCAACCCGGAGAACUGAAACAUCUAAGUACCCGGAGGAAAAGAAAGAAAACUCGAUUCCCCCAGUAGCGGCGAGCGAAAAGGGAAAAGCCCAAACCGGAGCAAUCCGGGGUUAGGACAUUCAAAAAGUAUCAGAGCCCAGUCGAAUGGUGUGGGAAAAUCAGCCAAAGAAGGUGAGAGCCCUGUAGACGAAAGGUAAAGAUGUGGGAAUGAAUCCAGAGUAGCACGGAGCACGAGGAAUUCCGUGUGAAGGAGCGGGGACCACCCCGUAAGGCUAAAUACUCCUUAGCGACCGAUAGAGAACAAGUACCGUGAGGGAAAGGUGAAAAGCACCUCGGAAGAGGAGUGAAAAAGAACCUGAAACCGUAUGCUUACAAUCAGUCACAGCCCUUAGGGGUAGUGGCGUACUUUUUGUAGAACGGACCAGCGAGUUACAUAUACUAGCAAGGUUAAGAAAUACGGAGCCAAAGCGAAAGCGAGUCUGAAAAGGGCGUCAAGUUAGUGUGUGUAGACCCGAAACCAGGUGAUCUACCCAUGAGCAGGUUGAAGCGUUAGUAAAAUAACGUGGAGGACCGAACCAGGACACGUUGAAAAGUGUUUGGAUGACUUGUGGGUAGGGGUGAAAUUCCAAUCGAACCUGGAGAUAGCUGGUUCUCCUCGAAAUAGCUUUAGGGCUAGCCUCGUAGAGAGAUAUAUGGAGGUAGAGCACUGAAUGGGUGCGGGGGCUUCACCGCCUACCAAAUCUUAUCAAACUCCGAAUGCCAUAUAUCAUGUACGGGAGUCAGACUAUGGGGGAUAAGCUUCAUAGUCGAAAGGGAAAGAGCCCAGACCGCCGUCUAAGGUCCCCAAGUGAUUGUUAAGUGGAAAAGGAUGUGAAACCGCAGAGACAACCAGGAUGUUGGCUUAGAAGCAGCCAUCAUUAUAAAGAGUGCGUAAUAGCUCACUGGUCCAGGGGUUUUGCGCCGAAAAUGUAACGGGGCUCAAACAAUACACCGAAGACGCGGAAUGACAUAUAGAUGUCAUUGGUAGAGGAGCGAUCCAUAGAGGGCGAAGCUUGAGUGAAAACGAAGGUGGACAAUAUGGAAGAGAGAAUGCUGGUAUAAGUACACGAUAAAAGAGGUGAGAAUCCUCUUCGCCGAAAAUCUAAGGAUUCCUGGGGAAGGCUCGUCCGCCCAGGGUAAGUCGGGACCUAAGGCAAGGCCGAAAGGCGUAGUCGAUGGAAAACAGGUAGAAAUUCCUGUACCACCGAAAGCCGUUAAGAGAGAAGCAAUGACGCAGAAGGAUAGAGCGAGCGCCCAGUUGGUGAGGCGUUUAAGUAAGUAGGGAGAAACGUAGGGAAGUCCGCGUUUUGAGAUCCUGAGAUACGAAUACGAGUGAAAAUAAGUAACGAAGUCCUCGAUUCCCCGCUGCCAAGAAAAGUUGCUAUCAAGGCUAGAGGUGCCCGUACCGCAAACCGACACAGGUAGAUAGGUAGAGAAUACUAAGGCGCGCGAGAUAACUCUUGUUAAGGAACUCGGCAAAAUAAACCCGUAACUUCGGGAGAAGGGUUGCUCUCCAUUGUGAGUACGAGCAGUACAGAGCAAAGGAGAGUCGCAGAGAAAAGGUCCAGGCGACUGUUUAGCAAAAACACAGGUCUUUGCAAAAUCGAAAGAUGAAGUAUAAAGGCUGACGCCUGCCCGGUGCUGGAAGGUUAAGGGGAAGAGUGCAAGCUUUGAACCGAAGCCCCAGUAAACGGCGGCCGUAACUAUAACGGUCCUAAGGUAGCGAAAUUCCUUGUCGGGUAAGUUCCGACCCGCACGAAAGGCGAAACGAUCUGGACGCUGUCUCAACAAGGGACUCGGUGAAAUUGAAAUACCGGUAAAGAUGCCGGUUACCUGCGAUAGGACAGAAAGACCCCAUGGAGCUUUACUGUAGCUUGAUAUUGGGUUUCGGACAUUUAUGUACAGGAUAGGUGGGAGACAGAGAGACGUGUUCGCCAGAAUGCGAGGAGUCACUGGUGGGAUACCACCCUUAAAUGUUUGGAAUUCUAACGAGGCGUGUCAGCCACGUCUUGGACAGUGUCAGGUGGGCAGUUUGACUGGGGCGGUCGCCUCCCAAAAGGUAACGGAGGCGCUCAAAGGUUCCCUCAGAACGGAUGGAAAUCGUUCGAAGAGUGUAAAGGCAAAAGGGAGCUUGACUGCGAGAGCAACAACUCGAGCAGGUAGGAAACUAGGACUUAGUGAUCCGGCGGUUGCGAGUGGAAGUGCCGUCGCUCAACGGAUAAAAGCUACCCUGGGGAUAACAGGCUUAUCUCCCCCAAGAGUUCACAUCGACGGGGAGGUUUGGCACCUCGAUGUCGGCUCAUCGCAUCCUGGGGCUGAAGUAGGUCCCAAGGGUUGGGCUGUUCGCCCAUUAAAGCGGUACGCGAGCUGGGUUCAGAACGUCGUGAGACAGUUCGGUCCCUAUCCAUCGCAGGCGGAGGAAAUUUGAAGGGAGCUGACCCUAGUACGAGAGGACCGGGUUGGACAUACCGCUGGUGAACCAGUUGUCUUGCCAAAGGCAUAGCUGGGUAGCUAAGUAUGGAAAAGAUAAACGCUGAAAGCAUCUAAGCGUGAAGCGAACCUUAAGAUGAGAUUUCCCUAGCGAAAGCUAAUAAGACAGCAGAGAGAAUAACUGCUUGA
rnacentral:rRNA from 1 species